AACCAACUGGGAUUACCUUAGUAACGGCGAGUGAAGCGGUAAAAGCUCAAAUUUGAAAUCUGGUACUUUCAGUGCCCGAGUUGUAAUUUGUAGAAUUUGUCUUUGAUUAGGUCCUUGUCUAUGUUCCUUGGAACAGGACGUCAUAGAGGGUGAGAAUCCCGUUUGGCGAGGAUACCUUUUCUCUGUAAGACUUUUUCGAAGAGUCGAGUUGUUUGGGAAUGCAGCUCAAAGUGGGUGGUAAAUUCCAUCUAAAGCUAAAUAUUGGCGAGAGACCGAUAGCGAACAAGUACAGUGAUGGAAAGAUGAAAAGAACUUUGAAAAGAGAGUGAAAAAGUACGUGAAAUUGUUGAAAGGGAAGGGCAUUUGAUCAGACAUGGUGUUUUUUGCAUGCACUCGCCUCUCGUGGGCUUGGGCCUCUCAAAAAUUUCACUGGGCCAACAUCAAUUCUGGCAGCAGGAUAAAUCAUUAAGAAUGUAGCUACUUCGGUAGUGUUAUAGCUUUUUGGAAUACUGUUAGCCGGGAUUGAGGACUGCGCUUCGGCAAGGAUGUUGGCAUAAUGGUUAAAUGCCGCCCGUCUUGAAACACGGACCAAGGAGUCUAACGUCUAUGCGAGUGUUUGGGUGUAAAACCCGUACGCGUAAUGAAAGUGAACGUAGGUUGGGGCCUUCGGGUGCACAAUCGACCGACCUUGAUGUUUUCGGAUAGGUUUGAGUAAGAGCAUAGCUGUUGGGACCCGAAAGAUGGUGAACUAUGCCUGAAUAGGGUGAAGCCAGAGGAAACUCUGGUGGAGGCUCGUAGCG
rnacentral:rRNA from 1 species